GUUUGAAGCUGCCUGUGCCUGCGCCUGCGCCUUCUCCUGUGCUGGUGUUUGGUUUCCAGGCAGUUUUUCUGGUUCAGUCUGAAGCUUCCUAAAGAAUUCAACUGUUAGAUUGAAGUGACGGAAAACGUUUCAAUUCCUGCAUAUGGAUUCUAUUGUGAUCAGAAACAUGUCAUGUGGAAAGUUGGAGUUCAAGAGCAGCCAAAGAGACGUUCUUUUUAAACAGAUUAAAAAGUAAAGUAAGACAAACGAAUUGAAACGGGACAUUUACAAGAAGACCUUCUCCUUUACCUGUGUUUCUGCAAGUGACUUCCUCACAAGUUCUUUCAGAAUGACAUGCACCUGUAAAUAAAUAAUUUAGCAUUCAUAAGUACAGACCGCGAUAGAAACAUAAAUUAAGCAUGUUGAACCAAGUAUCUAGCUAUUAUCUUCUGUACAAAAAUCAUAUGUAUGUGUAUUCGUGUGUGUCCAUUUCAUAUCACAUCAUAAUGUUUGAUUCUAUUACAUCAA